rnacentral:rRNA from 1 species
GACGAACGCUGGCGGCGUGCCUAAUACAUGCAAGUCGAGCGCAGGAAACUGACGGAACUCUUCGGAGGGAAGGCAGUGGAAUGAGCGGCGGACGGGUGAGUAACACGUAAGGAACCUGCCUCAAGGAUUGGGAUAACUCCGAGAAAUCGGAGCUAAUACCGGAUAGUUCAACGGACCGCAUGGUCCGCUGAUGAAAGGCGCUCCGGCGUCACCUUGAGAUGGCCUUGCGGUGCAUUAGCUAGUUGGUGGGGUAACGGCUCACCAAGGCGACGAUGCAUAGCCGACCUGAGAGGGUGAUCGGCCACCCUGGGACUGAGACACGGCCCAGACUCCUACGGGAGGCAGCAGUAGGGAAUCUUCCACAAUGGACGAAAGUCUGAUGGAGCAACGCCGCGUGAGUGAUGAAGGUUUUCGGAUCGUAAAACUCUGUUGUAAGGGAAGAACACGUACGAGAGGAAAUGCUCGUACCUUGACGGUACCUUACGAGAAAGCCACGGCUAACUACGUGCCAGCAGCCGCCGCGG